CUCUCAUUCACUCAUCUGAUUUUUGAAGACCUCUCAAAGUGUUCUCUCCAUUUUUCAAGCCCAAGAACACCAAGGAAACUUUGAGGCUAAGUCUUGGUCUAGGAAGUAUUUUCCCUAAGUUUGUUAGGGUUUUUGAAAGGUUUUGGAGGAGCCAAAGCUAAUAGGAAGGUCCAAACCUUAAGCAAGAACACCAAAGAGUAUUGGCUAAGCGUAACUGGACUGAACGUUGGAGGGUGAAAACCUGCUGAGCGCUAAGGACUCCAAGAAAGGGCAUGGGCAGGGCAGAGCAGUGAGCGCUGGAGUCUUCCUUGCAAAUGUACAUGUGGACCGACCUUUUGGGAAGCCUUUUUAUUUUUGGAAAUGUUGUGUAAUUUUCCUAAACUAGGCUCACUCUAAUCUUUGUAAAACAUGUUUGUAACUAAAUGUUAAGUAUGGCCAUACGACUUUUUAAAAAGUUUUUUUUCUAUGGGUUUUUGAGACAUUUUGUUAAAUGAAAACAUUUAUAUUUCCGCAUUAUCGAGUCUUGAAAAUCCGAGUCGUUACAAUGGAGGCGCGCCGCGAACCUCAGGGCUAAGUCGCGACCCGCCUAGGCAGCCUUAACCAAAUUAGGGUUUUGGGCUCGGUAAU